GCCAGUAAACAAACAGAAUGUCAAGUGGUGUAUCUAAUAAAUGACACACGCUACUUCAAAAAAGAAGAUAUAGAUAUAGACUUGUGACUUUGCAAAUUCUGUUAAAACUUUGCCUGUGUCUAGACUUGUCAAAAUAAAUGUAUAUAGAGAUAGCUAUCUAAAACAAAAAUCUUUCGUAGGUUUUAUUGUCUUUGGCUGCGGUGAUAGGUAGAUCAAAUAGUGUCCCGAGGAUUAAAACUGUAAUUUAUCCCUUUCGUCGAAGGGGAUAAACAAGGGAAUCCACUCCAACAGUCUCUCAAGAGUUACCUUCUCACCAGCAGACGAGUUGUGCACUAAAGACCAACACUUCAAAGGUCGCCGUGCUCUGGUCAGACCAAUUACCUUGCUUAAUGAGCCUAUCUCAACAUUCACUUAUACCUGGAGAUAAUCUCUUGUGUUUGGUCUCUCUGUGUUGACUACCAAAGUCUGCAUGUUGGCUGAGCGGAAAAUUCAAGCAAUAUAAGGUGUAAGUUAAUGGUCAAACCUAUUUUAGCAAUGCGUUGCAACGGUCGAGAGUAUUUCAACUGAUCAUUAAUGUAUGUCUUUUAUAACACGGAGGCGCAGUGGCUGAGUGGUUAAGCGCUUGGCUUCCAAGUCUGGGGUCAUGGGUUCAAAUCUUGAUGAAUACUGGGAUUUUCAAUUUCGUGAUUUUAGGGCGCUCCUGAGUCCACGCAAAUCCAAUAGGUACCUGACUUAAGUUGGGGGAAAGUAAAGGCGGUUGGUCGUUGUGCUGGCCACAUGACACCCUGCUCGUUAACCGUUGGCCACAGAAACAGAUGACAUUAACA